rnacentral:rRNA from 1 species
AGCGAACGCUGGCGGCAGGCCUAACACAUGCAAGUCGAACGAACUCUUCGGAGUUAGUGGCGGACGGGUGAGUAACACGUGGGAACGUGCCUUUUGGUUCGGAAUAACUCAGGGAAACUUGUGCUAAUACCGAAUGUGCCCUUCGGGGGAAAGAUUUAUCGCCAUUAGAGCGGCCCGCGUCUGAUUAGCUAGUUGGUGAGGUAACGGCUCACCAAGGCGACGAUCAGUAGCUGGUCUGAGAGGAUGACCAGCCACACUGGGACUGCGACACGGCCUAGACUCCUACGGGAGGCAGCAGUGGGGAAUCUUGCGCAAUGGGCGAAAGCCUGACGCAGCCAUGCCGCGUGAAUGAUGAAGGUCUUAGGAUUGUAAAAUUCUUUCACCGGGGACGAUAAUGACGGUACCCGGAGAAGAAGCCCCGGCUAACUUCGUG